CAUGGCGAUGGUUUUCUUUCUGACACACUUGUUACGUUUUCAAAGGAGCCCGACUCUGCCACGUGUACCGGGUAGGAGCUAGAAAAGGUUGGCGGGAGAGCGGCUCCCACAUGC
ensembl:snoRNA